rnacentral:rRNA from 1 species
AAUAAGUUUUAUAUAAAAUAAUAGGUUAUUUUAUUAUAUAUAAGAACAUUUAUAUAUUUAGUAAUGGUGAAUGAAAUUUUUAUAAUUGAUGUUAAGUACUGUGAGGGAAUAAUUAUGAAUUUUAAAAAAGUAGUUGUAUAAGAAUGUACCUUUUGUAUCAUGGUUUAGCAAGAUUUAAUUGUAAGAUUGUUUUUCUCGAAACUUAAUGAGUUACUAUAAUUUAUUUUUGGAAUUUAUCUGUGUGAGUGUGGCACAACUUUUGGAAAAAAUUAUAGUGGAAAUGAUAUUUUAUUCGUAUUAGGUGAUAGCUAGUUUUUUUUAGAAAUACAUAUAAGUGUAGAUUUAUAUUAGUGACUGAUGAAAAUUUAUUGAUGUGGUCUUGUAAUAUAAAAUUGAUUUAACUAAGGCUAAUCUUGGUUAAUUUAAGAAAAAGUGAUGUUAAUGAAUUAAAUAAUAUGUAGGCUUGAAAUUAGCUUUUAUAUUAAGAUUGUUAUAAAGUAUUAUUAAAAUCAUGGAAAAUUUAUUUGUUAUUUAAUCUUAAAUAUAUAAAAACGUAUAAUAAAACUAUAUUGUAUUAUAAUGUUUAUGCUAGAAUGAGUAUUUGAAAUGAUUUUAUUAGAAGAUGAUGGAAUUUUUAAUAUUAUUUUUAUUUUUUGUGUUAAAUGCAAAUAAGGAACUCGGCAAAUAUAUUAUUUCGCCUGUUUAUCAAAAACAUGUCUUUUUGUUAUAGGAAAAAUAAAAAGUCUGACCUGCCCAGUGAACUAGGUUAAACGGCCGCGGUACCUUGACCGUGCAAAGGUAGCAUAAUCAAUUGUCUUAUAAUUGGAGACUGGAAUGAACGGUUAAACGAAAUUAAAGCUGUCUCAUUUGUAUUAUUUAAAAAUUAGCUUUUAGAUGAAGAGAUUUAGAUUUUAUUAAUAGACAAGAAGACCCUAUUGAGCUUUAAAUAAUUUUAAGGUUAUUGUUAUUUUUAAAAAUUAAAGUCUUAAAUAUUUUUUAGUUGGGGCGACUAAGGAACAGUUAAAGCUUCCUGUAUGAUGUUGUAACUUAUGUGUUUUGAUCCAGUAUAAUCUGAUUGAAAGAGAUAGUUACCAUAGGGAUAACAGCAUAAUCUUCUUUGAGAGUUCAUAUCGAAAAGAGGGGUUGUGACCUCGAUGUUGGACUAAAAUAUCCUAAAGGUGUAGCAGUUUUUGAGGGUUGGUCUGUUCGACCAUUAAAAUUUUACAUGAUCUGAGUUCAGACCGGCGUAAGCCAGGUCAGUUUCUAUCUUUAAUUAGUAGUUUAAUUUUAGUACGAAAGGACCAAAUUAAAGGAUAGGUUGUCUUGAUUUUGAAUUUAUAUAAUUUUUGAUUUAAUAUUAUUU